UAAAUUAAAAAAAAAAAAAAAGCUGAAUUGAGUUGUUCUUAGAUUGUAGGAGCAGCUGCUCUUUUGGAACCCCCAUAGCACGCGGUAGACAUUAGUUCAAUUGGGCUCUGCGUGAGUGGGAGGUUGCAUUUAUAUAUACAUUAAAGGCCCAUGAUCUUUUGUGGUGGAUCCAUUUUUGGGUGGCCUGUUUGAAAUGGAGUUGGUCCCAUCUAUGGAGAUUAAACCAAU
rnacentral:misc_RNA from 1 species